AGUAUUGCAUUUUUUUACAGGAAAUAAUGUUUCUUGCGCUUUUCAAUCCGACAUGAGCUCACACAUGACACUUGCCACGACUGUUUUCUGUAGCUUGGUUGGUUGUCAAACUGUGGAGUAAUGUUUGACCUCCAAGUGGAGACUGACUUGGUUGGUGGGUUAGGGCACAAUGGCACAUGUAUUCUACUAACCUAAGAAGGUCUUCCCCUAAUACAAGUUUGAUUUGGUUAGAAUCCUAAUUUUAAGAACUAUAGCCAUUUCCUCUCUUUCAGACUUCACCCAAAUUUGUAACCGAAAAAUAAAAACUUCACUCAGUUCCUCUCUUCUCGGCAGCAAACCCAAUAUUCUUUUGCGGAUUGUUAAACUUUUAGUUGGUUUCCUACUUGGUUAGAUUAUUUAAUUAGCACCCAACAGCCUUAAUCUCCAUAGACACGCAUCACAGAGCUUUGUUUCAUCGGUGCAUACCCGCUCCAAGGUAGACUUACAGGUGAAUUCCUAUAUGAACUAGCUCUAGUGCACACCCAGAAGAAAAAUAUAGUCAGAUCAAGAUUGCUUGCAUGCAAAAUUGACUUUAGAAAUUAAUUUACCGAACAAAUUGGCCAAAAGGUUUUCCCCUACUGGGGUAUUAACUACCAACCAAUGUUUUUGGGUCUGUCAGUAAGUCCCAAUAAGCUCAAACAAAAGCUCUAAUAUUACUACAUCAUUAUUUAAACGUUUAUCAUAUAAGUGCAUGUAAAAGCUAUUUCUUUAACAAAAGAUAAAAUAAAUUCACUGUUUUCUUAUAAGAUAUAAGCUGUUUCUAUAAACUAUCAUGGAGAGCUUAUGAAAGUAAGCUAAAACUUAUGACAUAUCAUAAACUAUUUCCAUAUGCUCUCCCAAACAGUCUCACAAGUACAUAUGUCAGUAGAUAAACUCAAAUAAUUAAAUCCAAACAGACACUAAUUCUAACUGCAAUAUGUUCUAAUGAAUCCAGUCCUAGAUUUAUAGAGUAAUAGACUCAUAGUUACAAAAACUCUUGUGUUUUCAUGAAUCCCUUGUUGAAAUGUAAUCAAUUAACUAAUCAUAUCUGCAACAUGUUGCAAUGUAUAUGAGCGUACAGGGAUUAUUGAAGACAGAUAUUAGUUUGAAUAUUCGGACUUUUUUUUAUGAUAAGGUCUUUCUAUAUACUUGUGCAGGGUGGAAUGAAAAAAGGAUGGCAUUGAUCAAAACCAAUCAGAAUGGAAGCAACGUUUCCAUGAAAUGCUACUUGACAGACAAACUGCAUCUCUGCAUACUAUACUUCUUUAGCCUCCUUAUUAUGAUACUUGAAUUUGGAAGAAAGCUUGUAUGGAGCUUUAAGCCAGUUCGAAUUGGAACUUCCGCCACAUACAUUGAAAGUCCAUAAACCCCUUCUUUUUUAAUAGGUAAACUAUGAGUAUAUUUUUUAUGAAGUUAAUUACUCUGUACUAAACAGAGUAAGUUUUUUCAUACAAAUAUUCAAUCAUAUUUCACUCUUGAUAAUAUAUAAUUUAUUUUAAUCAUUUAGCUUAUUGCAGGUGGGUAAUAUAUAAUUUAGCAAACCCUCAAGUGGAAGAUUUUGACUCUGUUUUCUCAUGGCGUUAAGCUUGGGGUUAAGCUAGAAGAGGCUCGUGUAUAAGGCAAUUUUUUUCUCAUAGGAAACCAAGAUUUCUCCCAAAGGGAUGAGUUAUGAAUCCAACAUAACCCUUAUUGACAUGAUGAAUGUAUAGCCAAUACAUCAAAGGGAUAGAGAAGAGGGUGAAUGGUCCACUUUUCUUUGAUACACUAUGUAAUAAUAUAAUGUUGUACAUUAGUCAGAUUAUUUUAAACUUAUACAAAUUCUGCUCCAUACCACAUGAUGAAUGUCAUGAUUCAUGACCACAGAAAUAGAAUAUGUGUACCUUGUUUUUAACAUAUUUGAGCAUAUAGAUUCACUCUAGUUUUUAAAUAUUAAUUUAUAAAAAAUUGUCAAUCAAAUCACUUGAAAAAACACUUUAACUGGUGAUACUACAUAAAUUCCUAAAUGUGGGGAUGGAGAGUAAAAAGACACCACAAUGUUACCGAAUUACAGAACUGAAAACAUUCUUGGGCACCUUAGUAAAACCCUCGUUUUAAUUUUCAUGAAAUAUGUUGAUGAAAACUACCAUUGAAACACCAACAUUUUGGCAAUAGAAUGACUUAACUUAUACCAAAAAUUAAAAUACAAUGACUUAACAAUUAAUCAAUAAUAUACACCAGAUAUGUUAGCAAUGUAUUUUUGGCAAAUGCUGCAAGACAGUUGAAUAUAGCCUAAAAAAAAGACAGUUGAAUUUUUUUUAUUUUUUUUAGAUAAUCAAAGACAGUUGAAUACAAAUGACGUACAUGGUUUUAUUAUUUCUAUGCUAUGUUUGAGAUGGAUUAGAUAGUGACAAGGAAAUAAUAUAAAAAAAAUAAAAAAAUAAUGUGAAAAAUGUUUCCAAAUAAUAGUGAUGUGCUAUCAAACUAAAUUGUAAAAUUUAUGUAAGAUAAAAAAAUAAUAUAAAAAUUUAUGAUAUACAAUUUUUGUAAUCAAAGAAAUUUAUGAUAUACAAUUUCUAAUAGUGACAAAGAAAUAAUAUAAAAAACAAUAAAGAAAUGUAUGAUAUACAAUUUUAUUUGUUGGUAACGGUAUGAUAUUACAAUUACAACAACCUUAAAACUGAAAAACAAACCAUGCAAGAUCUUAAUUUUCAGAUUUGGUUUUGGGAUGUCAAAUUGGGAUCACAAAAUGUUAGCUGAAAGUAAAAAUUGGAACCUCCAUUUCACGUUAACAAAAACAUAGUAGCAAACAAAAAUUGCUGAAAAUCAUUAUGGACUUCACUUGCUUGUUUUUUCAUUUGCAUGUCUCAAAAUUACUACAAAUCUUAAUGGAAUAAAACAUGGAUCUUAACGUGUACUAAUGAGUAAUGACAUUAAUUGAUAUAAACACCUAAAACGUGAAAGGGAAACAUAAAUUAAAAGCUUGAGCAUGUAAAUGAUGAAAAGGCAACAACAUAUAUCCAUAGCAACAAAGAAUGAACAAGGUAAAUAAAAGCAGAAACAAUGAAGAAUCAAAGUUAUAUAUAUUUUACUUGUGUGACAAAGUCCUAACUAUAGUUUCUCAUUUCCUAUACCUUUGUAAUUAUACAUACAUGUAUUUCAAAGAUGGAUGAAAAAAAUAAUUAUGAAGCUAUGCCUUUGUAAUUAUACAUACAUGUAUUUCAAAGAUUUUAUUCAUUCAUUCAUCCGAAAGAGUGCAAGUAAACGUACCUGGGUACCUGGUACUUGGUUUGGUUUCAUGGUUGAUGAGAAUACUCAUGCAUGUUGGGUUGGAGAGCUUUGGAAAAAUGCAAGUUCAGAAGACACAACACAAUUA
rnacentral:lncRNA from 1 species